rnacentral:rRNA from 1 species
UACAGAGGUCCCAAGCGUUGUUCGGAUUCACUGGGCGUAAAGGGUGCGUAGGUGGCAAGGUAAGUUUGAUGUGAAAUCUCCGAGCUUAACUCGGAAACUGCAUUGAAUACUAUCUCGCUAGAGGGUUGGAGGGGGGACUGGAAUUCUCGGUGUAGCAGUGAAAUGCGUAGAUAUCGAGAGGAACACCAGUGGCGAAGGCGAGUCCCUGGACAACUCCUGACACUGAGGCACGAAAGCUAGGGGAGCAAACAGG